AUGGAAUCGUUCUCUCACGAUGAUUUUGUCCUCGUGGCGGUAACACUGUGGUCAAUAUGGCAUGCAAGACGCAAAGCCAUCCACGAGUCAAUUUUCCAAAGCCCCCACGCUACACACGGCUUCAUCACGAGCUUCAUUACGGAGUUGGGAACACUAAAGGGCAACAAGGAACAAACAAGGACGAGUGGGUCGGCCUCGGUGCAAAGAGCCACACAACCAAAGAAGCCGCCACUAGGCUAUUGCAAGAUACAUGUGGACGCCGGAGUGCGUGGGAGAACAGGAGGUUCUGCGGCAAUAUGCAGGGACGAAGGGGGAAGUUAUCUCGGUAGCUCGGCGCUGGUGAUUGAAGGAGUCACUGAUCCGGCUACUUUGGAUGCAAUGGCGUGUAGGGAGGCACUAGCCCUCGCCGCAGAUCUGGGGAUCCACCAGUUUAUAGUGGCAUCGGACUGCCAACAGGUGGUCUCUGACAUAUCAAGGAGAACCAGAGGACAAUAUGGAGCUAUCAUAAGCGAGAUCAAUCUGAAAGUUUCCCUUUUCCAAUGUUCUUUUACUUUCGAGAGUCGUGCUGUUAAUUAUGAAGCACAUAGAUUAGCUAAGUUUUGUUUAAGUCAGGGCCCGGGACGCCAUGUCUGGCUUGGCACCCCACAUGACCCCAGAUGUAUCCCACUUCUUGUGGAAUUCCAUGAAUAA
rnacentral:rRNA from 1 species